GUGCCACUGUCAAAAGAAAGAAAAAAAAAAAAAAAAAAGAGGAUGUUAGCACAUACACAGAUAUAUCAAAUGAGUGUGGAGAUGUUUGAAACAGGACAUGGGGCACACCCAGGCUUCCCCUGCAGCAUCUCAAGGGCUUUCCUUGGAGCAGAAUGGGAACCAAGGCUCCCCAGCAUUUCUAAGGGCUGGAUCUGACAUCACAAAGCAAUGAACAAUUGCCAUGUCUAUUGUUAAAUUGAUGACAAUGCAUAUAUAUUAAAAAAAAAAAACAAAACAAAACCAACCCAAAACCAAACACCCAAACUGUUGUCUAAAUGCAAACAUCUUCAAUUCGACUUAUGCAAUAAAUGAGGGGACAGCCAGCUCUCCACACCCAUGAACCUCCUCAUUACCUCAACGUGCUCACUGUCACAGGGUUUACAGCGGAGGAAAAAAGUGUGAGAGAGACAUGCCCUUGGCUGCCAGCUAUUCUGAGGGUAAUCCUACUUUGGAUGAACAAUUCAUUAGGGACCAACUGCAGCCCAAGAUGACCUAUGGGAUACUGGAAUUGCAGGAGGAUGCACCUGGGCUUCUUUUCAGUGUCCCACACACUGAGGUUUGUGGAGGAAAGUUAAACUCAAGGUUUUCCAGAGUUCUUCAUGCCCUCAUUCCACUGUUCUGUGGAAAAGUCUUGGAUGAUGCACAGACUGUGCAUCUCAACCUUACAAGUUUUAUCUUUCUUUAAAGCAUCAGAGAUGGAACCCUUUGAGAUGGAAACACUCCUGCUUGGUACCUUACAAACCCUCAGUUAAACGGAGAAACUGUGAAUGUUCAGUUGAGUUCAGUAUCACCCAAGGACAUCUUGUUAUAAGCAAUACUUAUGGGGUAUUUUAAAAGGAGAAACAGCAAGUAACACUUCUGGCAAAUGGAGAAGGAAAUGGGAAGGCACUGCCAGGAGUAGGUGCUGGGAGUGCAGACUGGCUCUUUCAGGAGUAGCUCCCUGCUAGAUUAGCUCAGCUACACUUGACCAACUGCCAUCAAGAUCUGAGCACAGCCAGGGAUUUCCCAGGUCAUUCUUGGCAGCGAUAUGCCACAGAGAAAAAAAAAAAUAAAAUCUUGCUACCUAUCACCAAAUCAGAACAACAGUGCCAGUGUACACUGCUGUAAAGCACAGCUCACCUAGAAGAAACACAAGUCCUUGUACCACUGGCUUCUUUUUGCUUUUUAAAGGUACCUUGCAGGAGCUUGAAAUUCAACAAAGAAGUAAUAACAAGUGCCUUUUAUUAGUUAUAGAUUCACAUUUGCACUGGAGUGCGGUUGUGUGUCACUUUUCUGACCUGGGCAUGUAUAGGUACAAGUGGAAAGUCCUAAGUGUCCUACAGCUCCAUGAAAUCACUCGGGGACCUCCACCCAGGUCCCAGCAGACACAAAUUCAAAUAAAGUUCCCAUAA